AGCGGAUUAGUGUAACGGUAGCACACCAGACUCUGACUCUGUUUGUGAGGGUUCGAAUCCUUCAUCCGCUGCCA
rnacentral:tRNA from 1 species